UACGAAGGGGGCUAGCGUUGCUCGGAAUCACUGGGCGUAAAGGGUGCGUAGGCGGGGCUUUAAGUCAGAGGUGAAAUCCUGGAGCUCAACUCCAGAACUGCUUUUGAUACUGAAGAUCUUGAGUUCGGGAGAGGUGAGUGGAACUGCGAGUGUAGAGGUGAAAUUCGUAGAUAUUCGCAAGAACACCAGUGGCGAAGGCGGCUCACUGGCCCGAUACUGACGCUGAGGCACGAAAGCGUGGGGAGCAAACAGG
rnacentral:rRNA from 1 species